rnacentral:sRNA from 1 species
CUUGACUACUUUCUUUCUGGCAGACCAACAUCUCCAAGAUCAUCAGUGAAUUCAUCCUAUAACCCUCCUGCAUCAUUCAUGCAUUCUCCUCUGAGCGAUGAUAUUCCAGUAGACUUGUCAAUGUCAUCGACUUCAGUUCACAGCUCAGACUCAGAGGGAAACUCAAGGUUUCAUGUUUGCCUCACUCCACCUUGAAUGGACUCGAGCCAUGUAUUCAUUCAGUAAACUGACUUUAUUCUCCCA